GGGGACGUAGCUCAAUUGGUUAGAGCGCUUCCCUGUCACGGAAGAGGUCGCGGGUUCGAGUCCCGUCGUCCCCG
rfam:Candidatus Yanofskybacteria bacterium RIFCSPHIGHO2_02_FTLL_39_10 rifcsphigho2_02_scaffold_36719, whole genome shotgun sequence.